rnacentral:rRNA from 1 species
GACGAACGCUGGCGGCGUGGAUUAGGCAUGCAAGUCGAACGGUAUCAUCCUUUCGGGGGUGAGAGAGUGGCGAACUGGUGAGUAACACGUAGGUUAUCUACCCUCAAGACGGGGACAACCCAGGGAAACUUGGGCUAAUACCGGAUGUGAGCAACUUUUAGUUGUUUGAAAGGUGGCGUAAGCUGUCGCUUGGGGAUGAGCCUGCGUCCUAUUAGUUAGUUGGUGAGGUAACGGCUCACCUAGGCAAUGAUAGGUAGGCGGCCUUAACGGGUGGUCGCCCACACUGGGAUUGAGAUACGGCCCAGACUCCUACGGGAGGCAGCAGUCGAGAAUAGUCUACAAUGGUCGGAAGACUGAUAGUGCGACGCCGCGUGAACGAUGAAUCCCUUCGGGGUGUAAAGUUCUUUUAUAUGUGAGCAGUGCUUCUUAUAUUAACAGUAUGGGGAGAGAGAUAUUAGCAUAUGAAUAAGCAACGGCUAACUCCGUGCCAGCAGCCGACGGUAAACU